rnacentral:rRNA from 1 species
CCAGACUCCUACGGGAGGCAGCAGUGGGGAAUAUUGGGCAAUGGACGCAAGUCUGACCCAGCAACGCCGCGUGAAGGAAGAAGGCUUUCGGGUUGUAAACUUCUUUUAAGGGGGAAGAGCAGAAGACGGUACCCCUUGAAUAAGCCACGGCUAACUACGUGCCAGCAGCCGCGGUAAUACGUAGGGGGCGAGCGUUGUCCGGAAUCACUGGGCGUAAAGGGCGCGUAGGCGGUAAUAUAAGUCAGAUGUGAAAGGUGGGGGCUCAACCCCUAGAGUGCAACUGAUACUGUAUAACUUGAGUGUGAGAGAGGGAAGCGGAAUUCCUAGUGUAGCGGUGAAAUGCGUAGAUAUUAGGAGGAACACCAGUGGCGAAGGCGGUCUGCUGGACAGCAACUGACGCUGAGGCGCGAAAGCGUGGGGAGCAAACAGGAUUAGAUACCCUCGUAU